rnacentral:rRNA from 1 species
GACGAACGCUGGCGGCGUGCUUAACACAUGCAAGUCGAACGGUGAAGGAGAGCUUGCUCUCCGGAUCAGUGGCGAACGGGUGAGUAACACGUGAGUAACCUGCCCCUGACUCUGGGAUAAGCGUUGGAAACGACGUCUAAUACCGGAUACGACCUCGGAAGGCAUCUUCAGAGGUGGAAAGAACUUCGGUCAAGGAUGGACUCGCGGCCUAUCAGCUUGUUGGUGAGGUAACGGCNCACCAAGGCGACGACGGGUAGCCGGCCUGAGAGGGUGACCGGCCACACUGGGACUGAGACACGGCCCAGACUCCUACGGGAGGCAGCAGUGGGGAAUAUUGCACAAUGGGCGCAAGCCUGAUGCAGCAACGCCGCGUGUGGGAUGACGGCCU